rnacentral:lncRNA from 1 species
CUGCUGUCGUUUCCUGGCCAUUUAAGCCAUUCUUUUCUCUUUUUCAUUUCAGCUUUUAUUUUAAAAAAGAAAAACAGAGGGCCUUUGCCCUCUUUCCCUCUCUGCUCAUUUCGGCUAGGGUUCUUAGAACCUUCAUUGCCGCCUUCACCGCAGCGCCACCACAGGCGGUGGUUGGGGUGUAAACCGAGCUUUCAAGCCCCUGUUUAAGGCGAACUUAACAGCGAAAACUUCCUUGACCAAAGAAGAUCCAAAGAAGGAACCCCCUACGACCUCUUCGGGUCGAAUCCGACGGCGGAGGAGCGAUCUCCGACGACGGUCACUUCGAUUCGGGUAAGUCCCCUUCUUUGAUCUUUUACCCUUUUUGUUUUUUUUUUUAGAUUUGUAGUAUAAAUAAAAAGAAAUUUAAAGAGAUGAAAGAACGAAAUGAAAACAAAGUAAAAAUAAAUCAGAGGUCAACCUUUAAAUUUUGUUCUGUUCUUUUAUUCAAAUGUCUGUGUCCACCCCCGUUACAAUCAGUUUCAUUUCGGCUUUAUAGCCGAUUCCCAUAUUAAAAUAUUGUUGUUUUAUUCUCUGCUACUGCUUAUGCUUCUUGCUGCCAUUUUCCUCUUUUCCAAAUGUUUGCAGGUCAUGGGAGUGUCAGACGCGUGGAAGGCCAGUGACUGGCGCCCCGAGCGGUGGUGGCGCACGUGGGAAGGCUGGUGGCUGAAGGUUCGCGGCUGACAACUUUGGUGGCUGCUGCAAUUUUUUUUAACAUAGUGGGGUAUUAUUUGGGCUUUAGGGUUUGUAUUUAGUUGGGUUUGGUCUUUUAGUUUGGGCCGGGCAUAAUUGGGCUUGUACAGACGACAUGGCUCAUUCCUACUCUGAUAUCUCUACCAAUAAAGAAGAAGAUUAAAGGCAAAAUCUAGAACCUCAACCUCAAACUUAGACAACCUAGGACCAACUCGGUUAUCAUACCAACAAUUGUAGCCUCAAGCUUAUCAUAGAAUCUUUAUGAUAUUGUGCCUAGUUGAUAUGUUUGUGUAAUUUAUUUUGAUAAAUUAUUGGACAUGAUACAACAAAUUUUAGUGUUCAUUGCUCAAUUUCUAUUUAGUUGUACAAGUCCAAAAUCUUGGGAAUAAGUUGGAACAUGGGUUGCAUGAAGAUUUGGGCAUGGGAGUAAGAAUUUGACGUACAAGCCUUUUUAAAUAUUAGGAUUAUUUUACUUUUUAUUAUUUUUAUUUAUAAAUAUAUUUUGCUAAAAUUUUAAUUAGAAUUAAACUUAUAUUUAUUUAAUUAGAUGAAUAAUAGAUUUUAUCUUUAAGAAUUUGAAUAGAAUUAGAAAAACUUAGGAUAAGGCACAACGCUUUGGAUCAUUUUAUUAUUCUUUAUUUGGGGGCACAUUUUUUCUUUCUUGGGGAU